AGUUAAACCAACCGCGCCUUCCAUCUCCUACCCGUCUCUUGGAAACCCUAGCCGCCCCCCUUCCAUGCCUUCGCUGCUUCGCUUCCUUGCCUCCCUCUUCCGCCGUGGCUUGUCCUUUGAAGCCCUGCUGACGUACCCAUGAAUCAUCGCCGUACACAGCCCAAAGAGGGAUAAAUUUGACGAUGGUUCAUGAGUACUUCAGUAGGGAAGGAAGGAUAAAUUUGCCUCUUGAUCUUUUUAAGGAGUUGAAGUAGAGGUUUGGCUGUGAACUAAAUGUGGUUACUUGUAUAUUACAAUGAUCUAUGAGCUCUGGAAAGCUUAAUUUUUCCAUCAACUAUCUGCUUUUUCAAUAUGCCUUUCUGAGUUGUAUAGUCUUGAAUAAUCUCUGUUGUCUUGCUCUGACAGCCUGUUUGAAUGAGCUUCUCUGCUUUUUGAGGAAUAACACAAAUUUAAAAUUGGAGAUUAUGAAGAGCUGUUUAUCCAGUUUUUGUGAACCUAUAAAUGAACUUUUUUUACAUCUUCCUAAGCAUUGGUUUUGUAUCCAGCAAUAAGCGAUUGCUGAGUCCAUUACCAAAUAUUUUUAUUGUGUUUAUGUAUUCACUACACUUAGUGCUGCAUUGCCUCCUAAUCUAGUUUUAACUUUCUUGCAAAUCAAAUGUGGUAAUGUGGUGAUCCUUUCUGCCACUAAUGUUUAUGAAGUGAAAAAACAGUGGAAUUGUCUUCUAGAAUCGGCAAACGCUCCCUUAGUCCAGCUGGCACCAUUCUUCUCAAAGCAUCUUAGCACUAGGCUAUCAGAUGUUGAACUUUCAGAAACUCUGUCCAGAUUGUGGCUUGACUAUCCAGAUCUAAGCAUAAGUUGUCAUUGCAAGGCUAGAACGGGGUCUCUCAUCAUCAAUUUUACUGGAAAGGACCAGACGAGAGUUGAGUUGGCUGCGAAGGUGCUUUCUCAGAAGUAUCAUGGAGCAUUUUCUGAAUUCAAUUUUGGGGAGUUUAGAAAGAAUUCGAAAGGAAGAGCUGUUUUUCUCAAUUGGUGAUGCGCAAAUGUGUUCAACCGAUCAUUCGGAAGACCAAGUUUAUUUCACCAGAAUCAAGGUGGUGGUAUUUCUCCAAGACAAAUAUACCACCGAAUUGUUGGAGCAAAUCAUACAGAAGUAGUUGCAUAAGGAAUUCAAUGCCAGGAGCUUUGAUUCGGAAUUCUCUGCUUUCCCCUGUUAAAUUGCUCUGUUCUUUCCUUUUUCAGUUUUGUUUUAGACAAAAGAUGAAAGAAUCAUCAUAUAGUUAUUUGUAUGACUUAACAAUCAAUAUGUCAUUCUAAUAACCAGAGAUCUCAUUAAACUCUUGAAGCUUUUGCAAAAUUCAUAGAUUAUUGAAAUGAAAUAUCAACAAAGCAGAGCAAACUCUUUGUUUUUCUGUCA